rnacentral:rRNA from 1 species
GUCUCAGUUCGGAUUGGAGCUGNAACCCGACUCCAUGAAGCUGGAUUCGCUAGUAAUCGCGCAUCAGCCACGGCGCGGUGAAUACGUUCCCGGGCCUUGUACACACCGCCCGUCAAGCCAUGGAAGCCGGGAGUGCCUGAAGUGCGUGAGCGCAAGCAGCGCCCUAAGGUAAAACCGGUGACUGGGGCUAAGUCGUAACAAGGUAGC